rnacentral:misc_RNA from 1 species
GAUGAGAACGUAGCGAAAUGCGAUACGUAAUGUGAAUUGCAGAAUUCAGUGAAUCAUCGAGUCUUUGAACGCACAUUGCGCCCCCUGGUAUUCCGGGGGGCAUGCCUGUCCGAGCGUCAUUGCUGCCCUCAAGCACGGCUUGUGUGUUGGGCCUCCGUCCUCCUCCCGGGGGACGGGCCCGAAAGGCAGCGGCGGCACCGCGUCCGGUCCUCGAGCGUAUGGGGCUUCGUCACCCGCUCUUGCAGGCCCGGCCGGCGCUUGCCGACACAUCAAUCUUUUUUCCAGGUUGACCUCGGAUCAGGUAGGGAUACCCGCUGAACUUAAGCAUAUCAAUAAGCGGAGGA